UACAGAGGUCCCAAGCGUUGUUCGGAUUCAUUGGGCGUAAAGGGUGCGUAGGUGGCGCCGUAAGUCGGGUGUGAAAUUUCGGAGCUUAACUCCGAAACUGCAUUCGAUACUGCGGUGCUUUGAGGACUGGAGAGGAGACUGGAAUUCAUGGUGUAGCAGUGAAAUGCGUAGAGAUCAUGAGGAAGACCAGUGGCGAAAGGCGGGUCUCUGGACAGUUCCUGACACUGAGGCACGAAGGCCAGGGGAGCAAACGGG
rnacentral:rRNA from 1 species